rnacentral:lncRNA from 13 species
ACCACAAAUCUCUCAUACCUUGGCACUGCCACCACUGUAACGAGGGGNNNNNNNNNNNNNNNNNNNNNNNNNNNNNNNNNNNACACACACACACACACACACACACACACACACACACACACACACACACACACACACACACACACACAGUGUCAGUGUGAAAACAAGAUAGCCCUAAAGUUGAUGACAAAAGAGCUCAGGGAAGAGAGAGAGAUCUGUGACUGUGUGCGUGCGUGUGCGUGUGCGUGCGUGUGCGUGUGCGUGUGUUUGACCUCACUGCCAGUGGUCCGAAAAACACGGUGCAGCUGGAUCCAGAUGAGCAAUGACGGAAAAUGUGAUUUUGUCUUGUCUUUCUUUGUUGUGAAGAUACAAGAUGGGUUUCUAAGAGCGUGGACAAGCAAUGCACGGUUGCUGCUGAAACUGAAAGAAAGUCCAAGAAAGUAACUGUUGCUGUUGGUUGUGAAGACGUUCAGGAAGUGGCUAUUUUGAAAUAAGCAAAAUAGAGAGUUGAACGGAUCGUUGGGCGGCAUGCACACACACAGACAGCAAAACCCCCCACAGAGACACACACACACACUCUCUCGUCUGAUGUGCUUCAAUCAGCUUGUGGUUUCACUUCCCCUCCCACCACAGACGACACCUAUGAGUAACAAAAGUCAAGUUCCAGACAUCUAAUCACACAACUCGAAAGCCUACGUUCUGAGCCCACACUCGGUGCAACGUCAAGCUUUCAGCCAUUUCUAUGGUAACCUUGUAAAGGAUUCUCAGGAUUUAACACUGUGACGAAACACUCAAGUAAAGCCUUACUGCUACACAUACAUACAGUGGGGCAAAAAAGUAUUUAGUCAGCCACCAAUUGUGCAAGUUCUCCCACUUAAAAAGAGGAGAGAGGCCUGUAAUUUUCAUCAUAGGUACACUUCAACUAUGACAGACAAAAUUAGAAAACAAAAUCCUGAAAAUCACAUUGUAGGAUUUUCUAUGAAUUUAUUUGCAAAUUAUGGUGGAAAAUAAGUAUUUGGUCACCUACAAACUAGCAAGAUUUCUGGCUCUCACAGACCUGUAACCUCUUCUUUAAGAGGCUCCUCUGUCCUCCACUCGUUACCUGUAUUAAUGGCACCUGUUUGAACUUGUUAUCAGUAUAAAAGACACCUGUCCACAACUUCAAACAGUCACACUCCAAACUCCACUAUGGCCAAGACCAAAGAGCUGUCAAAGGACACCAGAAACAAAAUUGUAGAC